GACAGUUACUGCAGCCAACAGCCAACAUUCUAAAUGAGUAUAAAACAAUGCUAUGAGGUAAUAUAUCCCUCUGUGAUAAUAGUUUAACAUAUGGGCUACUCGUGGUUGCAUGCUAAAUUAUUGCUGGUAUCAACUUUAUUAUUAGUUUAGUGAUUAUUACAAGCAUCUCAAUUUUUCAGUCAAAGGCAUCUAAAAUGUUUCUUGAUUCACGCAUGUAUAUUUCAAAGAGGAAUGCAGCCUUGAGUAAAUGAAUAUUGCAAAGCUUAAUACCAGUCCCAAAAACUUGCUCUGGCCAGAGAAAGAGGCCAAUAUCCGGCGUGGUCUGUUCAAUCUACUACAUGUAAUUUGGUGUUCUAUUGUGCGCACCAUCAGUUUUUGUUGUUGUAUAAGUUCUACUUCAAAUAUGUGUAGCUAGACCCCGUCGAAGUGAUCUUUUUGUUUCUCGUCUCAUGUAACUGAAGAAAAUGAGAGAAGGUAUUGGACACUGGUCAUGUAUGUAGUCGGCAGAGCUGUUUUAUGCAAUGCCUAUUGUCACAAUAGCAUAUAUGUCUAUACGGGGAGGAGACCAAGAGAGUACAUCAGAAGCCAUUGAUUUGCCAUGGAAUAUUAAAAACUUUCAGAUGACCUGUUCAUAUGAUGGUAUCCACAAGAAACUUCAUAUCCUGUAUGUUUUAGCAUGCUCCACACAAAUAUAUUAAUUAAUUUGUGUAGGUAUGCUUCUCCUUCUUUCAGUUCCUGAAUAAUUAUACCACCAUCUGUGUGGAGUAUCUUGUAGUGCUCCACACAAAUAGAUAAAUUAUUUUUUAUGAGUAUGCUUCUCCUUUUAUCAGCUCCUGAAGAAUUAUACUGAUGUCGUGUGCUUUAUUUGCAAGAUUUAUAUGACUUAAACAAGAACUUGUUAAAUAAUAUGAGUGCAUAUAAGUAGAUUGAUCUUGCCUCUUAUGUAGUCUGGUAGAUUUGGAAAGAAAGGAAUUGCAGAUUUUGUCUGGACAAAGAGAUGAAGCCAGAAAGGUAAAUGUCUCAAGUUCUACAGAAUGUUCGCCUCAUAUUGGAGGCAUUUGAAACAAGCCUUUGCUACUGUACAUCCAAGCUGGGUUCUUGAUGUUAAUUUCAUUUAUACGCAUAGUAAUAAAUUUUGCCCCUGGCUUCCUAAGCAUAUACUUUGUUCCUGGCUAGGAAUAAUUUCCGAACAGUUUUACAAAUGGUGAAAAAGAAAGGGUUUUGUUUACUAUUUUUUAUGACCGUGGACUCAUGAGUUCAUAACAUAUAAUGUAUUAUUUGUGUUCAUUCCUUUAAUGUGGAUUAUAACAUGAUCUACCUUUGCAUAAACAUCGAUGACUACUUUUGGUUCAUAUUCAUGCAUCCACUUCUCGAUAUUGAGAUUUUUCACAUAUACUGAACUUGUCUUAGUCAGCCCAACUCAGCUGUAUGUGUGACAUUUAUAAGAUGACUCCGUAAAAUUCAUAGAAGACACUAUUCUUUUAUUCUGUUCUUUUGUUUCUUCCAGAUUUUGCUCUCCUCGCUUAUACUUCGAUAUUGUUAAUUUGAUUAGAUGACUCGGUCGAUGAUGUUGGGCAUGUCCAUGGUAUCCAUUAAAAAACUUUAAAAAAAAGUCUUGCACCGGAAUAAAAUUAGAUAGCACACCACUUAUGAGUCGAAACAUAUGCAAGCCAAGCCGGUACCAUAAAAUUAGUAGAUUAGGUCCAUUCCAGCCGCUAAUUCUUUGUGCCAAUGCUAAGUAUGUGAUGAUCUUUCCACAAAAAAUCAAGUUUGUAUAGAGUGACCAAUGCUAAGUAUGUGAUAAGCUUGCACUGACUUUUAGUUACAUCUGAUGAUCUUUCCACAAAAAAUGUAUUAUAGAGUGUAAUAUUUACAGUGUGGGGAUGUUGGUGGCCAAGAAAGUUUAUGCCCUUGUGAAGACAUUACUAUGAAGUCCUAAGUUAUCCUGUAAAAAGGAUUCUUAUGAUACGCAUGUAAAUCAACUUCUGAACUUUUAUGUAGAUAUUUAAGUGCCAAUACCAUCUUUUGGUAUAACACAAAAAAAUCAAGUUUUGAGGCCAGAGAUUUACCUUACUUUUGCAUAAGGUUUUGUUGUAAUUCGUUACCAAGAUGGGUAGCACUGUAUAGUUUCCUAGCAGCAUCAUUUGGCCAGCUUCUUAGAUUUUAUCUGCAUGAAUAGUAGAUUUUCUCAUUUUGAUUUAGAACAUUGUAAAUGUUCACCUCAGCUGCCAGAUUAACAUAAUGGAACGUCGUCAGGUGUAUUUGAAGGUUGCCAGUUUAGGUGGGCCAAACAACCAGUGCGCUGAGGUCAAAAUAAGCAUGACACCAGUUUGAUUCUUUUAGGGGUCGCCUACAUGAUGAAAGAUGCUCAGGCACACAUCAUUGUUGGGUUUUCGCAUGUCAUGUCAUACUUGGUCUGUAACUGAAUCUUGAGAAUUCAUUUGUAUGACUUGAUGUACAGACGUGUUAUUCAUAAUGAAAAUAAUAUCAUUGUAUGUGCUUAAAAUAUUAUGUCAUAACUCUGUAAAAAAUGGCAUCUUCUACUAGAUAAAGAAGUGAUAAUGGUAAAAAAAAAAAUCUUUGGGCA
rnacentral:lncRNA from 1 species